rnacentral:lncRNA from 1 species
UCUGGUGCUAAAAUUUUGCAGUUCUAGAAAUCGGACUUUAUUUUAGCACCAUGUUCUGAGAUGAUAAAAAUAAAUUAUUGGUAAAAAAAUCAAAACCAUAUAUGAUGAAUCAAUCACAUGAUUAUGAGAUUAUAAAUGAAGAACUAUUUCCAGAAGCAGAAACAAUAUAAUUAUAUCUAUCACACUAUGCCCCAGCUCUUCAGUUGAUACUGAUGUAUGUUAUAAACUAAUUCAAAAUAAGAACUUUGGCUUCUUAGGCUAUAUUUAGAGGAAGCCUCACAUGACUUGUAGGAUUAUUAUAAUGACUUCUUGGUAAGGCUCAAUGAAAUCUACAGCUGUUGAUCUGCCUGCACUGACAGCUUGACCUGUCUCUUGGAUGAUUCAGAAACUCUUGCCUGAACAGUAGUGAACUCACAUUGUCAAAUUUUUCUUCUAGAGCUGUGAGUAACAGCUUUUAUACGAUUAGUUAGAUUGUCCACUGUAAUGGGAAGAACUGUCUUAUCUUUUUCUUUUCUGCCAUACAUCUAUUUGUCCACUUAAGAGUUUGUUGAGUGUACUAAACAUUAGGCUAGCUACAUGUUCCUCUUAUAUAGCAUAUUUAAAGGUGUUGCUAUAAUUCUUUUUGUAUGGCUCAUUUUAAUAUAUUGAUUGACUACUUUGUUCACUGAGUUUCAUUGAAAGCAAGCAAUAUUUGAUGUAAAUGAAUCAGAAAUACAUUUAAUUCUUUCCAAAUUUUGAUCCAGGAAAUGAUGUCAGUUAAUGGUGUUGUUUGCACAGUAUUCAUUCUCUCCUUAUUUUUAACUAAGAGAUUUCAACUUGUUCUAGAUAUCAGUGUUCUCAGUGAAAAAAUAUAUUUCUCAAAAUUAUUUGCAUUAAGGGUGUCUGUGUAACUCAUCUCUGGCCGAUGAGCAACAAGCUAGAAUUUGUUGAAAUUUCUAAGAAAGUUUCUUUUCUUCCUUGUCAUUUUCUUCUUUCUUUUGCCUAAAAAACUGAUGAGCCACUGAUCUGAAACUAAGAAUUCCUCAUUACAGAAUUUUUUUCACUUAGAGAAGAAGAAAUAUGUGUUUGCUUAAAUGUCUGUUUGUGUUUUUUUAUUUACCUGUGGGCCAGCCAAACUAUCCCACACCAAUAUAGAAGCUGGUUCCAAGAGAGAUAUUUGUAGUUAUUAUGAGGAUAAAGCAAAUUGGUAACAUCCCAUUGUUACAUGAGAGUGAAAAUAUACUUCACUGAAUUUAAAAAAAAUUAUUUUUAUUGCAUGACUUCUUAGACAUUCUGAUAUGUUAAGAUGCAUUUCUAUUCCUUAGGAAUGGUCUCUGUUACAACAUAACAAACUAAUUUGAUCAGGAGUUCAUUUUUAAAGAGUUUUAUUGGUAUGACUGAUGUCCCAUGGAAUAAUGGUAAUAAUAUAGAGGAAUAUGCAUAUAAACAUAAAUAUAUAAAGGAAAUGAGGUAAAUUGAUUUUUUUUGAUCAAAAAAUGAAAAAUAACUUUGCUUGACCUGUGUUCCUGGAGACUUUCCAGAAGAGACAACUGCUGGAAUUCCCACGGUGGUGUAGUGGGUUAAGAAUCCAAUUGCAGGGGCUCUAGUUGCUAUGAGGUGCAGGUUGGAUCCUAGGCCCAACACAGUGGAUGAAAGGAUCCAGUAUUGCAGCAGCUGCAGUGUAAGUCACAGCUAAGAACUAGGGUUCAAUUCCUAGCUCCCUAGCCUGGGCAUUUCCGUAUGCUGUGGGUGCAGCCCACAUCUGGUAUUGAUGAAUCUUUUAAAAUGAUUGUCUGACCUGAUAAGUACUCAAAAGUGGAAAGUCGUUGUAGUCCUAGAACAUUUAAGUACUGGUUACUGUUAAGCAAAUAAUGGGUGAUAAUUUCUGAGCUUCAGAUGUAGUACAAAUCACUAAAGAAACAUUGCUUUAUUCUAUUACUUAGAGACAUUCAAGUCAGAUCAUCAUUUUAAAUGUGUUUUUAAGUAGACUUUUGAAGGAAAAAAGCAAAAACGAAAAGGCAUUGUAUUAUAGUAGUCUCAUAAGCCCUUAUUUGUGCUUCUCUUUAGAUGGUUAUUGUUUGUCUUCUUAUUUAUAUAAACUUAUUUUUAAAGAGUAAUGUGCCUUAAGCCAUUUUAUGAAACUCUACUCCUGUCAUUUUGAUCAUCAACAUUUUAUUUCCAGGGACAGCCAUAGAUAGUAAUAUUUCAAAGAUAUGUUUAUGAUAUGGUAAAUACACAUUUAUCUCAGUUUUACCUUAUAUAUACAAAAACAUAUACAUAUGUAAAAAAAGCAUAUUUAUAAAGUAGAUGGGGACAGUUAUUUUUCUUUAUAAACAAUACUUUUAUUUGAUUGCUUUUUAAAGUUACUAAGACUGGAGUUGCUGUUGUGGCUCAGCAGGUUAAGAACCUGACAUGGUGUCCUUGAGGAUUCAGGUUUGAUCCCUGUCCUUGCUUAGUGGGUUAAGGAUCUCGCAUUGCUGCAAGCUGUGACAGAUGCGACUUGGAUCUGGUGUUGCUGUGGCUGUGGCAUAGGCCUGCUGAUGCAGCUCUAAUUUGACCCCUAGCCCAGGAACUUCCACAUUCUUCAGGUGGGCCAUAAAAAUUAAAAAAUUAAAAAUUAAAAUUUCUAAGAUGAAAUGUCCUCCUGAAGUAGUUUGGAAAAUGUGAUAAAUGUGAUAAAAAUAGGGAAACCUACUCAAUACUCUGUAGUGACCUAUACGGGGAAAGAAUCUGAAAAGGAAUGGGUAUAUGCAUAUGUAUAACUGAUUUGUGUUGCUGAACACCUGAAAUUAACCCAAUAUUGUAAAUCAACUACACUCCAAUAAAAUUUAAUAAAAAGUGUUGACAAUGUGAUUGAAAAAUGAUCCUGCAGCAUGCACUCACAAGUUGGGGCUUUUCUUUGUGAUUGAGAUCUUUCAGUCACACUCCAUUUUGCUUUUUCCAACUACAAGUUGAUUCUUCCAUAUCUCUGGGCUAUGGUUCAAAGAUUGUUGUUUAUUUCUAUUAAGACGUUACAUAGCCAUUGUAUACAACCAUCAUUUAUACCAAUAGUGCAGUGUCCUUUGGCAGCAGUGUAUUAGUGGUUUAUGGCCCCAGAGCCAGCCUUACCCAUCUCAUGGCAAGUUAUUUUGCCAAACCUUGUAAUUUACCAUAGUUUGAUAUCCUUCUUCUAAGGAACUAGCCCAUCUUGUGCUUAAGCAUACUUUUUAAAAAUAAUAUAAUAGCUGAACUUAUUUUCCACUAAUGCUGAUAAAUGAGGAACAUAUUUGUGGCCACAGAAAUAUUUGCUAACUCCACAAACUUCUAGAGUUAAGGAAAACAAGAUUCUAGUCUUUUCUCAUGUACAAAAUUUGUGAUCAAAUUUUUCAACUCUGGAAAGUACUCAGAGAAAAUUUUCAACCAGAAAGCUGGGCAUUUUGAUGAGAUGGUCACAAGGGUCUUUCUAAGUCCAGUUCUAUAAAUAAAUUGCAUAAGAGUACAUCAAAUUACUUUAGCCACCUUGCCCAAAUGUAAAGGUAGACAAACUGAUUUUUCACCUAUGCCUUCCAAAUUACUGUGUAAAAAUGAAAAUUUAUGGUGAAUAAUCACCAUUUAUAAUAUUUUAGUAUAAAAUGUAUUUUUUUUUAGUAUAAAAAUACAUGUUAUUUUAAAGACAAGCAUUAAUACCUAUUAUAACUCUGAUAGAAAGAUGAGUAAAGUUUGUCUUUGAAAUCAUCUUGAGUCUACUAAUAAGGCAACAUUUUAUGGUAUUUAAAUAUUAUUCAAUAUGAGCAUGUUUUAAAACUUCAAGAACAAUAUAUUGAUUUAGUUGAGAGUGACAGUUUUAAUACAGUGUACCCUGACACUAACAGAAAUAUUUUAGUUUCAUAUUGUUACUUUUCUUUAAAUCCUUACAUAGCAAUUAAAGCCAAGCAGCAACUGGAUAGUAAGUAGAAAGCCAUAUUUCAAAUCCUUUCAGUGAACUAAUAAAAAAUUCAUGCUGUUUUAUAAUACAGUAUGAGCUGAUGCAGAAUUACCCCAGAUUGGCAGGAGGAGGCUAUUCUUAGUACAAAGCAGCUGUGUUUAUUAAGUAAAAUUUGUCAUUAUAACUGAAAGUAGAUUUUGAUCAAAUUUAUUAUAUCAGAAGUAUUUUUUAUUAAACUUUCAAGAUGAGAAGGAAUUACAAAAUACUACAGCGUUAAACUUUAGUUCUCAUUUAAGAAGUAAUUGGCGGAGUGCAUUAAUUUAUCAUUUGGUGUAUUUAGAAAAAAGUUGGAACAUAUUAUUUUAAAAAGCUAAGCAGAAUAAUAAUUAUGUCAAUUAAUAGAAUUUUAGUUUGAUCUGC